rnacentral:lncRNA from 1 species
GCUCGGGUUACUGAAAACAUUUUUACGUGCAACAAUGGGCCAGGACCGACUAAAUGGAAUUGCACUGAUGCACGUGCAUUACAAUUUAGAGUUAGAACUUGAUGUUAUAGUUGACAUGUUUGCACGCAGGCAUCCAAGAAAAAUGAAAUUGGAAUCAAUUUUAUAAAUAAUGUGUAACUUUUGUUUUCUAUAGUUGUAACUAUUUUCAUGAUACCAAUAAAAAAAAAUGAAUUUUAAUUUAAGAUUUCAAAAGGUGACCACCCCCUAAUAAAUUCCUGGAUCCGCC